CCUACGGGUGGCAGCAGUGAGGAAUAUUGGUCAAUGGCCGGGAGGCUGAACCAGCCAAGUCGCGUGAGGGAAGACGGCCCUACGGGUUGUAAACCUCUUUUGUCGGGGAGAAAGGUGCAGGUCGGGACCUGCAGUGAGCGUACCUGAAGAAAAAGCAUCGGCUAACUCCGUGCCAGCAGCCGCGGUAAUCCGGAGGAAGCGAGUGUUAUCCGGAUUUAUUGGGUUUAAAGGGUGCGCAGGGGGAGGCACGAGUCAGCGGUAAAAUCGAGGGGCUCAACCCCGCUCCGCCGUUGAAACUGUGUCGCUGGAGUGCGGGAAGGGUAGGCGGAAUGCGUGGUGUAGCGGUGAAAUGCAUAGAUAUCACGCAGAACUCCGAUCGCGAAGGCAGCCGACCGGAGCGCAACUGACGCUGAUGCACGAAAGCGUGGGUAUCGAACAGGAUUAGAUACCCUGGUAGUC
rnacentral:rRNA from 1 species